GAGCAAUAACUUAUAAGCUGAGACCUGCAGGAUGAACAGGAGUUAGGUGAAGAGGAGAACGAUGUCCAGGCAGGGGCCGGGGAAGCUCGUGCCAAGGCACUGAGGGGAAGUGCUGCAAUGAACCUCAGAGGCUGGAUCUUGCUGACUCAUCUGGGGUACCAAGGACAGACAAAGGACAUGGAGUCCAGGCCCAGGAGGCGAUACCAGGCCAGCAGUUUCACUGAUGCUCCUGUCAUGACGAUGACUGCCUCCCUCCUCCCCUUGGUCCCUGACUCAGUGUCUGCAGUGACCAGGCACCAGGCAGGGAGCAAGGAACCAAGCCUUUCACCUGCUCCCACCAACUCCUAUGGUGCUCCCUUUCCAAGGCUAGGUCUCCUCUCCACCCAGUUCCUUAUCACGUACCAUGAGAAGCUGUCACCUUGGCAACUGUCACCUUCUGGUGAGAUUUACAAUUGCACUGCUACAACUGCUUGUGGCAUGGUAAAGUUGCACCAGGACCUCUGCUGUCCAUGAGAUCAAAGUUCCAGGCCAAGGCACCAGGGGCACGAACAGUGUUGCCCGCAUGGAACUCACACUUAAUGGGAGCGGCAGCCAACAGGAUGAUACCCGGCAAAUUCUUCAAAGCAGUGUUCUCCAACUUGAAUGUUUGUGAUGUGGGCGAUUCUGACUGAGGGGGUCUGUAGACCACAUCUUGAUAAACAAUGCUUUUUAAAAAAUUCCUAGAAGAGAAUAUUUGAUUUCUGGAAGGAUAGAGAAGAAACUAAUAAGAGUGUUUACCUCCGAGGAGGAGGAGAAUUGGGAAGCUGAGAGCAGAGGAGGGAGGAAGACUUACUUUUCACCGUGUUCUUUUUUGUACCUUUUGAGUUUUGUACGACAUACUGAAUCUUUGACCCAUUUGCAAUUAUAAAUAAAGGCACAUUUAUUUGGCCGGGC
ensembl:lncRNA FLJ40194 uncharacterized FLJ40194